rnacentral:lncRNA from 1 species
CGGCGACUGAUGCGGUGUUAGAUGCAGCGACUGAUGCGGCGAUCUGCGGAGUUAACAGCGGCGACUGAUGCGGCAUUCUGCGGCGACUGAUGCGGCUAGAGGAGGAUCGAGAGACGAUGCGGCACUGUGAUAAGAGGAGGAUCGACUGAUGCAGCGAUCUGUGGUCAGAGGAGGAGCGAGAGACUGAUGGAGGAUCGAGAGAGAUGCGGCCCAGCGUUGAGAGGCUGAUCAAUCGAGAGUUUCAUGGCAGAUGAGUGUAAUUGAUUCAACCAACGGAGGGUAGUAACCGGGAUUUCAAAAAAUUCAUUAAUGAACAGUAAAGACCGCUACAGUGCUCGGCCAGC